rnacentral:rRNA from 1 species
AACGAACGCUGGCGGAAUGUAUAACACAUGCAAGUCGAACGAGACCUUCGGGUCUAGUGGCGCACGGGUGCGUAACGCGUGGGAACCUGCCCUUAGGUUCGGAAUAACUCCCCGAAAGGGGUGCUAAUACCGGAUAAUGUCUUCGGACCAAAGAUUUAUCGCCUUUGGAUGGGCCCGCGUUGGAUUAGCUAGUUGGUAGGGUAAAAGCCUACCAAGGCGACGAUCCAUAGCUGGUCUGAGAGGAUGAUCAGCCACACUGGGACUGAGACACGGCCCAGACUCCUACGGGAGGCAGCAGUGGGGAAUAUUGGACAAUGGGCGAAAGCCUGAUCCAGCAAUGCCGCGUGAGUGAUGAAGGCCUUAGGGUUGUAAAGCUCUUUUACCCGGGAUGAUAAUGACAGUACCGGGAGAAUAAGCUCCGGCUAACUCCGUG